rnacentral:rRNA from 1 species
UACGGGGGGGGCAAGCGUUGUUCGGAAUUACUGGGCGUAAAGGGCUCGUAGGCGGCCAACUAAGUCAGACGUGAAAUCCCUAGGCUCAACCUAGGAACUGCGUCUGAUACUGGAUGGCUUGAAUCCGGGAGAGGGAUGCAGAAUUCCAGGUGUAGCGGUGAAAUGCGUAGAUAUCCGGAGGAACACCAGUGGCGAAGGCGGCGUCCUGGACCAACACUGACACUGAUGAGCGAAAGCCAGGGAGCAAACGGG